rnacentral:rRNA from 1 species
GGGCCCGCACAAGCGGUGGAGUAUGUGGUUUAAUUCGAUGCAACGCGAAGAACCUUACCAGGGUUUGACAUCCUGCGAAUUUCUGGGAAACCGGAAAGUGCCUUCGGGAGCGCAGUGACAGGUGGUGCAUGGCUGUCGUCAGCUCGUGUCGUGAGAUGUUGGGUUAAGUCCUAUAACGAGCGCAACCCCCAUCGUUAGUUGCCAACGAGUAAUGUCGGGAACUCUAACGAAACUGCCGGUGCAAACCGUGAGGAAGGUGGGGAUGACGUCAAAUCAUCACGGCCCUUACGUCCUGGGCUACACACGUGCUACAAUGCUACGGACAAAGGGCAGCAAACUCGCGAGAGCUAGCAAAUCCCAUAAACCGUGGCUCAGUUCAGAUCGUAGGCUGCAACUCGCCUACGUGAAGGAGGAAUCGCUAGUAAUCGCAGGU